rnacentral:tRNA from 1 species
GGAGAGGUACCCAAGUGGCUCAAGGGGAUUCCUUGCUAAGGAAUUAGGUCGGAUUUCCCGGCGCGUGGGUUCGAAUCCCACCCUCUCCGCCA